rnacentral:rRNA from 1 species
UGGGGAAUAUUGGACAAUGGGCGCAAGCCUGAUCCAGCCAUGCCGCGUGGAUGAUGAAGGCCCUAGGGUUGUAAAGUCCUUUCGGCGGGGAAGAUAAUGACGGUACCCGCAGAAGAAGCCCCGGCUAACUUCGUGCCAGCAGCCGCGGUAAUACGAAGGGGGCUAGCGUUGCUCGGAAUCCCUGGGCGUAAAGCGCACGUAGGCGGCUUUCUAAGUCGGUGGUGAAAUCCUGGAGCUCAACUCCAGAACUGCCUCCGAUACUGGAGAGCUCGAGUCCGGGAGAGGUGAGUGGAACUGCGAGUGUAGAGGUGAAAUUCGUAGAUAUUCGCAAGAACACCAGUGGCGAAGACGGCUCACUGGCCCGGUACUGACGCUGAGGUGCGAAAGCGUGGGGAGCAAACA